GAUGAACGCUGGCGGCGUGCCUAAUACAUGCAAGUCGAACGCUGAAGGAGGAGCUUGCUCUUCUGGAUGAGUUGCGAACGGGUGAGUAACGCGUAGGUAACCUGCCUGGUAGCGGGGGAUAACUAUUGGAAACGAUAGCUAAUACCGCAUGACAACAGUUAUUGCAUGAUAACUGUUUAAAAGGGGCAACUGCUCCACUACCAGAUGGACCUACGUUGUAUUAGCUAGUUGGUGAGGUAACGGCUCACCAAGGCGACGAUACAUAGCCGACCUGAGAGGGUGAUCGGCCACACUGGGACUGAGACACGGCCCAGACUCCUACGGGAGGCAGCAGUAGGGAAUCUUCGGCAAUGGACGGAAGUCUGACCGAGCAACGCCGCGUGAGUGAAGAAGGUUUUCGGAUCGUAAAGCUCUGUUGCAAGAGAAGAACGAGUGUGAGAGUGGAAAGUUCACACUGUGACGGUAUCUUACCAGAAAGGGACGGCUAACUACGUG
rnacentral:rRNA from 1 species